UACGUAGGGGGCAAGCGUUGUCCGGAAUUACUGGGCGUAAAGCGUGCGCAGGCGGUUAUGUAAGACAGAUGUGAAAUCCCCGGGCUCAACCUGGGAACUGCAUUUGUGACUGCAUAGCUAGAGUACGGUAGAGGGGGAUGGAAUUCCGCGUGUAGCAGUGAAAUGCGUAGAUAUGCGGAGGAACACCGAUGGCGAAGGCAAUCCCCUGGACCUGUACUGACGCUCAUGCACGAAAGCGUGGGGAGCAAACAGG
rnacentral:rRNA from 1 species